AAAGACACUUUACAAUCAAAGACAAUUGUUACGCCCUGGUCUAGGGGUGUGGGUGCGUAACAUAAGGACACACAGGAACACGAGUAUAAAUGUACAGGUGAGCAAUUUAUUGCUGCACACUUCAAAAAAACACACGGUACAAUAUGGCUCACAAAUGGAGCAAUUGCGUCAGGGUGAACCCAGGCCAAAACAACGAACAAAAAGCAACCUGUCUACCGACCGGCGAUAUUCCUAAUUCCUAACGAAAACAAAAGAAACAAAAGUACAAUACUAGGCCUAACUCCCUAGGCUAAAAAACAGGAGAAAACAGAUCCAACAGAAAUAGCAGCUCACCCCUACACUCCGUGCAAACAAUGUGGUAGUGACUAUUUACAAUAUAUACAAACGACUCAGUUGGCCCUAAGGCACUGGUCUUAACAAAAAGAUACAAUAUUUAGCAAGACAAGCUAAAUACGAACAUACACACUAUGGUCACACACGAGAAAUCCCUUAUCACCAGAUCAGAGAAACGAUGCGCUGCUGCCAUGUCAGAAAGUGGUCUCGCGGCUUCCGUGUGGCCGGCAUUAUGAAGGCCGAGCCCCUUGCCCAACCAAUCUGGCAGCGGUGACGUCGGAGCAACGUCACAAUCGUCUAGCGAAACAACUGCACACCUGUUAACAUAAAACACAAGAUCUCUGGAAAAAGGAGAGGUCUAACUCUCCACUAAACAUGCUGAUCAAAUGUAUAUAGCCUACAUAGAUAUAAACACAUACACAUAAUAAACACACAGAUCAUAAGGCACACAUACACAUAAUUAACACACAGAUCAUAAGGCACACAUACACAUAAUUAACACACAGAUCAUAAGGCACACAUACACAUAAUAAACACACAGAUCAUAAGGCACACAUACACAUAAUUAACACACAGGUGGCCGGGGGACAUAACAACAAUAAAACAUCAAAAAACAUCAAACAGUCAAAAAGACAGUGUUCAAUCGAGAUAACGACAUAACAGCACAAAAUAAAUGUAUAAAACACUGAGUUAACAAUAAAAUCACAAAACAGGGAAGGCUAAUUUAAAAAGGUACAAUUUCAGUUGACAUUUAAAAGAAACCAGGGAAGUGCACUGGCGCAGGACAAGGGGCAGAGCAUUCCAGAGAUGGGGGCCAGAAUCACUGUCUAUGUGGCUCCUCCAGUCUUAGACGUGAUUUAUGCUUGUGCGUCAGCUCUGUGCAGACCCCACUCCGUACCCUAGCCAUGUAACCUACGCACCUGCCUUUGCCAUUGUGAGCAUUUUUUCUUGUGCGGUGGUGUGUCUGUGUCACUCUACAGUUACACCUCCAAAACACUAGUUGGCGGCGGGGUUUCUAUGAAGUGCUGUUAAGUGUAGUUGAUUCAAAACACACCCAAAACACACAUUAAACAUGGCUUAAUAGCAACAAUAGUUGCACAAGUACACAAAUUGGCUUCACAGAAGCAAACACUUCGCUGACACAUUUUCCCCACAAAUACAACAGGCUUUUGUUAAUAGCACAAGCCUAUGGCAUUUUACAUUGUAUAAAUUAGCCUACUGGCUAGCAGAGAUUUUCUCUACUCAUGAAACCAGGUUCAACAGCAACAUUUAACAAAGGUAAACUUUUGGCUCUAUUACAACUCACAAGGUUCAUGGACAAAAUAACCGUGAUACUCAACACGUUUUCCAAGCAAAUACAACAUGCUAACAUUAUUAACACAAGUCUAUGGCAUUUUACAUUGUAUAAAUUAGUCCCGCAACCUUUAUUGUUUUCACAAUUUAUUGUUUCUUGUCUGUGAAAUUAAAAUAAAUAAAAGCUUUACUUCUACUGAGGGAAAUGGUUUAAGCUGCCACGAAUAGACAGGAGGUCUGCAUCGCCGCGACAUGCAGUGACAUUUAUGUGGAGGUGCAUGUAGGGCUAUGGUGUAGGGUACUGGGUAGGCUCCACGUCGACGCAGAGCCUACAUCGUAAGUACGGCAGGCAGAAGUAUAAAUCCCACAUUACAAAUAGCUACUAGUUAGCAACCACUGUGGUAAACUUGUCAUGAAUCAUGUCUCUUCACCUGUCCUGUCUAAUCCACCACAAGAGGUGAUUUUCAGCACUGCAUUCAGUCUCUACAUGUUGACAGAAACCUGUACUUCAUUUGUUCUGAAGCCAUAAAAUAUUCCAAUAUAAUCAGUCAGUCAGGUUUCUAGACUGGGUUUUCUCAGAGAGCUCAGAGCUGCCGUCAGGAGCUGUGAGGUCAGAAACAAACUGUUAGUGUGAAACUGUGUGAAGUCCACUCAUCCUGCUCUGAACUUUUAUAAACAGUAAAUGCAGAAACACACUUGAAAUAAUCAGCACAAUAAUGUGAAACCUGUUUUAAUCUGCAGCAUUAAGUGUGUAUCAGAUCAGUAGAAAUAGAAUAAGAGUAAGUUUUACU